UCCUCCCUUGGGAAGUGAGUAAGAGCCGUCUUGUCAUCGAGUUCUCUCACGAGCAUUCGCGCAAAAGCAUCGUCCUAGCUAGUAUCCAGAGCAACAAGUAGCACAAUAUAUUCUUAGCUGAAGUACAAAAAUAAUGAACCGAAUCCCAUCCUCUUCAGUCAUGAGUCCUAAUGUCCUAUCUCUCCAAGUCCGACCCUAGCAACCUUAGGGCUAUACGACACCAUGAGCAAGAACAGGGAUGCCGCCGGCUUCGUCCCCAAUUUGGGCAAGACGACAAUGAACAGUUUGUGUAGUGGGGUAUGGUUCCUAUCCCUCUCUUCUCGUGUUGAGUUGCUGCAUCUGCUUGGCACUUUGCAGUGGUGGUCGACGACGCGACGGGACGAGGCGUUGGUGGUGGUGGUGAUGGUGGUGUGGCUGACAGAAGAGAGUGAGCAUGCAGCGGCCAGACUGGAUCUAAAUAUGGCUGAUUCUGAAGAGAUACAAGACGAUGGAUGGAUGAAUGCCUAGACGCAGCUGUUGUUGCGUGCUCACUUCUCUUUCUGUCAGGUCUCUUCGGAAUAAGGCACUCUUAAAUUUUAUGGCAGCCGCUGCGCGAAUGCACGCCAUGGAUUCUCGCGCCGGGCAAUUUCUCUACGUUUCUUUCCUCGGCGAGCUUCUCGUUGCCAUCUCUGUGCCUUCCGAUGAUGGAUUAUUAGCAGGGCCUUCAGCCUUGGGGGAAGAGGACGCGUGAUGGAUUAACACCGCUCUUUGCUCGCCUUCCCAGAUGUGCUUAACGGAAAGCACUGUUUGACUAGUCCUUGCUAGUUGCUACCCCUUCUCCCUCUCCUUUACCCUCUCUCUCACUUAUGUACUCUCCUUUUUUUGGCAAAGAUCUCACAGCAAAAAUUGCAUCUUUUUCCCUUUUGUUUUGCUCAUCUUAUGUGGUGCUCUGAGUGUUGUGAGGUAGGUGGGAGGUAGAUCUGCUUGGUUGCAAGUUGAAAGGGGGCACCUACCGGCGGCGGUGCCUUCAAGAUCUGGAAAUGUUUCUUCUCCGCUCAAGCUUUGGAUCCACAGUAGACUUAAAGAUUGUUUAAUCCUUUGACACAACAAAGGGAUUGGUUCAAGAAGAUACUGGGUGCAUGGCGCCUAUGCUCCUGAAGGUGCAUUCUUUCACCUGCUUGAAGUUGCGGAUGCAGUAUUUCCAAGUUUCCGGCAUCAUUUCAUGAAGUAUGACCUCAGCGAACUAGAUAUUACUGCAGAGUUCAGUGCAGCUGUGCAUGCAACCCAGUUAUCUGUCCUGGCAUACAAUAUGAGAGCUAUUCCAUUUCUGUAAGGCUAUUACUCAACUUGCUUCUCAAUUUUCGUCUUCUCUAUUGCAUGCCUAGCUCGGUGUGCUUUGUUUUGAAAGUUAAUCACAGAAAUGAGGAAAAUAAAAAUUAUAUUAUUUUAUCUGAGAGAAGCUUUCCACUGAUCUAAGUAUGAGCCGAAGCUAGGUUUGUUCCCAGUGAAGCCUAGGACAAUCGGUGUGCUUAAUAUUUCUGAAGUGGUGAUGAAUCUACACUGAGACUUGUCGUGAACUGAUGAUUUAGGUUUGAAACCACGCUAUCUUGUUCUCAGGGGUUUAAUUUCCGUUUUUGGGAAUUCUGGCUACCCACUAGGACGUUGGUAACUGAUUGGUUUCAGUUUCUCUUGUGGAUAAGCCAAUUUCUUUUCCUUUGACAAGUUCAGCUGUGUCCUCAACUUGAUAUAGUAGCACUGGCCUCUAAAUUCUUUUGAGAUAGUGCACUCAGAUACUCUAGCUAGAACUGACCGGUUUUAAUUUUGAAUCCAGAAAUCUGCCGGUAUUUCUGGUUACUGUUUUUACAACCCUAGUACUGGUGAUCACCUUGAUUAUCUUUGUUGCAGAUUCUGCAGGUAAUAUACUUGUAGUCAAGGUGGUUUCUGUGUCUCAUACAAGUGCCAGGUAUAUGGCAUACAAGUAAAACUAGCUAUGUAUCAAUUACAUAUUGAAAACAGUCACUUGUGUUUUUUGCUUGUUGCAAAUAUCUUUUGUUAUUAAACAAAAUUGACAGAAGAACCUGUGACAUAAUUUUUGUCCUUGCUAACUUCAUACUAUACAAUUCCCAAGUCAGAUCAUUCCAGUAUGCAGGUACUCAAUUUUCAUUGUGUCAUCUAAUAGUGAAACGGUCAAGCAAAAGUUCCUAGUAAUGUCCUAUAACCGAAUCAGUUUGUGCUUGUAUAGCUUUGGGUCCAACCAAGCAAUUGCUCUUUGAAGAACUGAUGUAAAGCGGGGCAUCCCCCGCCCCCCCCCCCCCCCCAAGAACGCGUGAAGCUUGCGUGUCUUGAUAGAAGCAAGAAAAUGGAGAAGCACACCGCAUGUUGUCACUGGUACUGCUUGCUUACCAUGUAUAGAUUGUCUUCUCCAUUGUACUGUA